rnacentral:rRNA from 1 species
GUCAUUCAUAUCACCUUUCCACCUGUGAACUAUUUGUAGAUCUGGAUCCCUCUCGCUUUGCUCGCAU